UACGUAGGGGGCAAGCGUUGUCCGGAGUUAUUGGGCGUAAAGAGCGUGUAGGCGGCCGUACAGGUCAGCUGUGAAAACUCGAGGCUCAACCUCGAGACGUCGGUUGAAACCGUACGGCUAGAGUCCGGAAGAGGAGAGUGGAAUUCCCGGUGUAGCGGUGAAAUGCGCAGAUAUCGGGAAGAACACCCGUGGCGAAGGCGGCUCUCUGGGACGGUACUGACGCUGAGACGCGAAAGCGUGGGGAGCGAACAGG
rnacentral:rRNA from 1 species